UUAAUUUUCAAGAUUUUUAAAAAGAAAAUAUAUCAGAUCAAGGUGUAGCUUAUGUUUAAGUAUUGAUGGGUUACAAUAAAAUUAUUUAAAUGGAUAUAAAUUUGAAAAGUUUAUUGAAAGUGGAUUUGAUAGUAAAAUUAUAAAGAUUAAUAAUUUGAUUUUAGCUCUAAAAUAUGCACACAUCGCCCGUCACUCUUAUUAUUAAGGUAAGAUAAGUCGUAACAUAGUAGAUGUACUGGAAAGUGUCCCUAGAAUGCAAUUUAAAGCUUAUUUAGUAAAGCAUUUCAUUUCAUUGAAAAGAUUUUUGUGCAAACAAUAUAAAUUGAUUGUAUUUUAUUUAUUAAUUAAUUUUUUUUUAAAAAUAAAUUAUUAAAAGUAAUUAUUAUAUGAUUUGUUUAAGUAUUUUAUAAAGAAAAAAUAAUUUUAAUUAUAGUUAAAUAGUAU
rnacentral:rRNA from 1 species